rnacentral:snoRNA from 1 species
AAGACUAUACUUUCAGGGAUCAUUUCUUUAGUUGUUGACUUGAGAAGUGUGUUGCUAGAGAGUUUGGUCUCGCUGCCCACGAUGAAGAGUUAAGAUGUUUCCUUCGGAGCAGGAAAUUGGUGGGGAGACUUUGGUUUCUCUCUACUGUUGAUGGUGGUACAGAGCUCCUCAGUGAGACUUUGAAGGAGGAAACAUGAUCUGAGUGGA